UCCAGGGUAGCCUAGUGGACAUGGCAUCUGUCCGGUAAGCGGAAGGUUGUGGGUUCGAUUCCCGCCCCUGGAC